rnacentral:rRNA from 1 species
AUUGAACGCUGGCGGCAUGCCUUACACAUGCAAGUCGAACGGUAACAGGUCUUCGGAUGCUGACGAGUGGCGAACGGGUGAGUAAUACAUCGGAACGUGCCUAGUAGUGGGGGAUAACUACUCGAAAGAGUGGCUAAUACCGCAUGAGAUCUACGGAUGAAAGCAGGGGAUCGCAAGACCUUGUGCUACUAGAGCGGCCGAUGGCAGAUUAGGUAGUUGGUGGGAUAAAAGCUUACCAAGCCGACGAUCUGUAGCUGGUCUGAGAGGACGAUCAGCCACACUGGGACUGAGAAACGGCCCAGACUCCUACGGGAGGCAGCAGUGGGGAAUUUUGGACAAUGGGCGCAAGCCUGAUCCAGCAAUGCCGCGUGCAGGAUGAAGGCUUCGGGCUGUAAACUGCUUUUGUACGGAACGAAAAGCCCCGGGUUAAUACCCUGGGGUCAUGACGGUACCGUAAGAAUAAGCACCGGCUAACUACGUGCCAGCCGCCGCCGUAA